rnacentral:rRNA from 1 species
UACAGAGGGUGCGAGCGUUAAUCGGAAUAACUGGGCGUAAAGGGUGCGUAGGUGGUUAUUUAAGUGAGCUGUGAAAGCCCCGGGCUUAACCUGGGAACGGCAGCUCAAACUGAGUAGCUUGAGUAGGUGAGAGGAGUGUGGAAUUUCCGGUGUAGCGGUGAAAUGCGUAGAGAUCGGAAAGAACACCAGUGGCGAAGGCGGCACUCUGGCACCAUACUGACACUGAGGCACGAAGGCGUGGGGAGCAAACAGG